rnacentral:rRNA from 1 species
UACGAAGGGGGGCUAGCGUUGCUCGGAAUCACUGGGCGUAAAGCGCACGUAGGCGGAUUGCUAAGUCAGGGGGUGAAAUCCUGGAGCUCAACUCCAGAACUGCCUUUGAUACUGGCGACCUUGAGUCCGGGAGAGGUGAGUGGAACUGCGAGUGUAGAGGUGAAAAUUCGUAGAUAUUCGCAAGAACACCAGUGGCGAAGGCGGCUCACUGGCCCGGUACUGACGCUGAGGUGCGAAAGCGUGGGGGAGCAAACAGG